GUAAAUAUAGGCAACUGGUGCUGUGUGCUUGAGACAAUUCCAUCUCAUUCCCAGCAUGCAGAACAGCAUUUAGAGCAGGACCACAGUGAACACCUGACCUAGGUUUUCUCCAAUGGACCUUGCCAAAGAACCUCAGUUGCAUGUCAUCUGCCCAAUAGGUUCAAGAAUAUUCCAGCCAUCCAUGGGUGGCAGACCCAGAGAACAGCAGGACCAGGACUCCACCCCCAUGAAGCCCACCAUCACCAAGAUGUUCAGGUACCCAAGGAAGCUUCCAGAGGGCUACAUUCUCCAAGAUCUCACACAUUCUGGUUGUACAGAUGACCCCAGGGUGUAGUCCUUCCCAAACACCAGGGCUGUGGGACUCAGCCCUGCUGGUUUCUCUGAAGGCACAGACCACUGGUUACCCAUCCCCAUGACUGACAACCCCUAUGUACUCUAUAAAACAGUAAGUAAGCGGAGAAAGAA